rnacentral:rRNA from 1 species
CCCUUAGAUGUUCUGGGCCGCACGCGCGUUACACUGAUGAACGCAACGAGACCACCUGUACCGAAAGGCAUGGGUAAACUUGUGAAAGUUCAUCGUGAUGGGGAUAGAUUAUUGCAAUUAUUAAUCUUCAACGAGGAAUUCCUAGUAAGCGCGAGUCAUCAGCUCGCGUUGAUUACGUCCCUGCCCUUUGUACACACCGCCCGUCGCUCCUACCGAUUGAAUGGUCCGGUGAAAUCUUCGGAUUGCUGGAUAGGACUUCAUUGACCUAUCUGCGAGAAGUUGCUUGAACCUUAUCAUUUAGAGGAAGGAGAAGUCGUAACA